AUUGAACGCUGGCGGCGUGCUUAACACAUGCAAGUCGAGCGGCAGCGCGGGAGCAAUCCUGGCGGCGAGCGGCGAACGGGUGAGUAAUGCUUCGGAAUCUGCCCUUCAGUGGGGAAUAACCAGUCGAAAGACUGGCUAAUACCGCAUACGAACUGAGGUUGAAAGCAGGGGAUCGCAAGACCUUGCGCUGAUGGAUGAGCCGAAGUCGGAUUAGCUUGUUGGUGGGGUAAUGGCCUACCAAGGCGACGAUCCGUAGCUGGUCUGAGAGGACGACCAGCCACACUGGGACUGAGACACGGCCCAGACUCCUACGGGAGGCAGCAGUGGGGAAUAUUGGACAAUGGGGGCAACCCUGAUCCAGCGACGCCGCGUGUGUGAAGAAGGCCUGCGGGUUGUAAAGCACUUUUAGUGGGGAGGAAGGUCUGCGACCUAACACGUCGUGGAAUUGACUUAACCCACAGAAAAAGCACCGGCUAACUCUGUGCC
rnacentral:rRNA from 1 species